AUUAUUAUAUUAUUAUUAUUACUGUGAUUUCUUCCUACAAUCCCAAAGAUUUCACUAGCCGUGCAAAUCUUAAAAUUUUUCUUUAAAAGUACUUUUAUUGGCCUAACUGACAUGAAACAAAGAAGGAUUCUAGGCCCUGAGAUGGUAAGAUUUGGGGUGGAGGUUCUGUGUCUGUCUCCUUCCCCAUAGAAUUACCAAAUUUCCCAUCUAGCUCUGCCAGACUGCUGAAUGGUCUCUAAGUAAGUACAGCCUACAUUUCAAGGCUGUUUCCUCAGCCAAAAAUGCCCCUUCUCGUUGUCUGCUGUGAAACUCCCUUCCUCUUACCCUCCUCUUUCCAUUAUGGGACUGUGUUCUCUUCUGGGCUCCCUUGAGGACUUCACACUAUUAUUCCAUUGACUUCAUGUUGUUAUUUUUGGUUUUGUAUUCAGUAUGUCUUUGCUCAACUAGACCCUCAGGAUCUCCAUCACCUGUACCACCCAGCCUCUCCUUCCCAGCCUUCCCCAGCACCUGGUAUACAUUCAUGGAAGAAUUAACUUUUGAACCCUGUGGAUUUCAUCACAAUAAUGCUGCAUGGGUUUAGGAUAGACAUUCACAAUCUGAGAUGAGCAGCGCUAACCCCCAUCCCUAAAGGAAACCUAGUAAGGGUGGUGAUUAGAGACAUUUUGAAUGAUUACUUCAGGAAAGGAUCAAAUUCAUUGAAAAGCUGCUAUCUUAGUGAAGAUGUAACUAUGAAAAGACAUAAAAGACAAAAUCCUAAUAACUGUAUAUUUGCAAGUGCCUUUUUUUAAGAAUAGGAAUCAUCUCACCAGAGUAUUUGAGAAAGGAUGUGUGUGGUUGUUUGCAUGUCGCUGCCAAUAGUUAAGAAUGUUUCAUUCUUCUGGGAUCACUAAGCCUAAGAGGAUAAUUUGAGGUUACUCUUGGGGAGGAAAGGACACUUAUGUUGGGAAUUCAAUCGAUGGUAGUUAAGUGUCCUUUUUGUUUAAUAAUUGGGGUAAGUAUGACAAAUAUACAACAUUCCCAGGGAGUGAGGAGAGAGGCUAAAGAAGACAGAUGAGCAAAAUAGGCUUGAUUGAGAAAAGCAGAAUUUCUACUACCAGUGACAAUUGUGGGAGCAGCGUUCCUGUAAUGGAGGGGAAAUGAAUAAAAUCUGAGGUCCCAGCUCAACAGGGACCUUUCUCCUGCUAGCCAGCUGGAAGGCAGGCUUGAAAAAAAAAAAAAAAAAAAAGGAAGCACGGGGAAGGAUGUUUUUUUUAAUAAGUCAUCUCGGAAAUGAUCAUGAACACAGUAAAGCUGGUUUUCAAAAAAGGAAAGUGAGAAAAGAAGUGGUAGCUUGAAGCUGGUCAUUGACGAAGAGAGAAAACUUCUGAACCUCCCAAGAGGGUGUACCUGGUUUGAGUGGGCAGGACUCCAAAGCCUUUAGGAUCGAUGGACCAGAACAGAGAAAUGAAAGUGCAACAAGAACAACUUUGCGGAAAAGGCAGGAGCAGGGUAGGAAGCAAAAAGGGUGUGUACUUUUCCUUUCUGAUCUGAGAAAGGGAAAUUUUGUGCUGGGAAGAGUUAUGUGGGAGGAGGAAGGAAAGGCGCCAGGAAUUCCCGGAAGGUAUGUGAUGUGUGACCUUAUAAUCUCCUGCAACAAUUUCUACACUGAUUGGGACACCCUGUGUGUAAGCAUCCCUUCACCUCUGCUCUAAAAAUGCCAUUAGGCUAUCUUUAUCAAGUUUUGGUAUUGAUCUUAUGGGUCAGUUCCUGAGAAGGAGAGAAGUCCUUGAGUUGUUGGGUAAAUGUGGUUCAAGUAAGAUGCUGAACGGUGCCAGCCAUGUAGACUCCGCCACAGUGAAGGAGGAAGGUUCUCAUUGCUAAGGCUUAUUUUGAGGCUCAGUGACCAUCUCAUUCCUACUGCUGGCCCACAGUAGGGAAUCAGACCUUUAGCAGACACAGAUCUCUUCAAAUACAGAGUGAACUUGGGACAGCUAAUCAUCUGGGUCAAGAUGAACACUCCACGAGGGACAGCACAGAAUAUACCCAAACUGAGAGCCACAAGCAGCACUGACGAGUGAAGGAACAUUUGGGAGGAUCAGAAGCUUGGUGCUGAUUUUGUCACAUUAACCAGUACCUUGAUGACUUCCAGGGAAUCCCCAAACCCUGGGUUUCUGUUUUCUCAACUCUAGCAUGAGAGGCUAGACUCACCUGGUUUAGUUUGUCUCCAUGAUGGUUUAGUUCAUCUCCAUGAUUCUGUGAAUUUCAGAUGUUGAACAUCUUCAGAACAGCCCUGAAAGAUGAACAGGCAGGAGUUAUUGUCUAUAUUUUAUCUAUGAGGAAACUAAGGACCUAGAAAUUUAAAGAGCUCAUUAGCUUUGGAACCAGUAUCAGAAAUGAGUUCCUCAGAAUUCUAGUCCCAAACUCAUAGCAUGAGAGAAAUGUGGACCUUUCGUUCCAGGAGUUUAUCAUCUAAUUGGUAUUUAGCUGGUACAGGAUUAAGGCAAGAUUACAGGUUCUUGAGAAACAUAAGCAACAGAGACAAGAACAUCAGAAAGGGCUGGUGUGACUUGGGUCAUGUCUGCUGAUGGAGGUGAUAUCAGGAGAGGUUGUUUGCUGAGAAGUUUGCAAUCCCUAGAGCCCAAGUGGGUGUUGCCAGGAAACCCUGAGUUUUCCAACUUGGCAAUCAGUGCACAACCGAGUUAUUAGAGGAAAUUGCCCAGUUCUUUGGCAAUUGUAUGUGGUAUAAAUAUGGUUUUGAAAUUCUAUAUCUUAGCUUAGCGAAAGGUGGAAACAUUUUGGAAUCCAUGGAUUUGGGAGAUCUGCUGCCAUUGCUAUUAUAAUUACUUUUAGCAGAAGUGUACACUAUGACAUUAAAUUGCUCAAAAAGAUUCAAUUUUCUAAUCUUUGAGACUUCUUAAAAAGGAAUGAACCCCAAGUAGAGUGAAAGUGGAUUUCAAAAAGCAGUUUAUUCUGAAUGAAAAAAGAAUCAUUCUUGGCUCUACCUCUGACAAACUGGCUGUGUGUCCCCAGAAAAUUCACGUAAUGUCUCAGAUCCUCAACUUCAACUGCAAAUAAAGGUGUUAGAGGAGAUCAUCUUUAAAGGCCAGCUCAGCUCUAACAUACUAUGAUUGGAUACCACAUACUGUUCCACGUUCUUUUCUCUAACUCUUAGGGAUUGCUGCUCUUCCAGCCUUUACAAAUAUAACCUUUCAUUGUCACACUCAUUCUUCCUUGUCCUAAAAACAGGCCCAGGCAUAGCCUGGGGCCACUCCUGAGAGCUAUAGCAGGUGGCACCUAGUGUCUCAACAGUAACUAUCUACACUCCUAGGGAAAGUUAUCUCACAGAAGUGUAGAGAGGCUGACCUCGCCUAGAAAGACAAUAAUGUAUAAUGAUUGAAAGAAAGCAUAGGCUCUAAAGUCAGCCAGACCUGGAUGAAUCUGCCACCUACUAGAGACCUUGGGCAAGCAAGUUUGCCAUGCCUGGUACCUAGUGAGUGUUGUGGGCCUCUAUUCUGGAGGGACAGCAGGGUCUUAUGAAACCAGCAUGAGAUGGUAAAUGCUUUGCAGGCUGGAUUUUUAACAGGAAAUGCCACCCCUGUUUUCUCCAACAUCUCUGGCAAAAUUGCUAACCCAAAGGUACCAGGCCCAGCUAGUCAUGAAGGGGAGAGAAGUCAUCUCCAUCCAAGAGAAAAUCAUUUGAUGUUUAAAGGAGCGGUUUAGAUUGUUAUGAAGGAACAGAGGGAGAGAAGAGGCAAAGACAGAGAAAGGGAUGGACGAGAAUAAAGAAAAGAGAGAAAGCAGUAGGAGACAAAUGAGAAGGUCAAAGCUGAUAAUUUUCACUUCAUGAUAAAAGGAAUUUCUAAGCAAAUUCUAACCAUUUUAUCAAGAAGACGAAACAAAUUCACUAACAUAUUUCCACUUAAAGAAAUGCAUGGGCAUUUUCUUUGCAAGUGGAGUUUGUUUAAAAAUUAGGUAUUGAAUGCUUUAUGCUUUUUAAAAAAAUCUCGAUUGAUUCUGGACAUGCACAUUCCAGUUGAUAGACAGAUCAAAGAGUCUUUGAUUUUCUUACUGGUAACUUGGCACCAGUUACCAGUGGCUUCAUAUGAAUCUAUCGACUGCUGUGGGAUGGCAGAGCAGCUAAGAGUGCAAGACUAGUCUACACAGGCCUGCAGCUGCCACAUUCUGAUGCAUCAAAGCCACAGCAAGUUCCUAAAACAUGGGCUCCAGAUCUAGAUGCUUUCGGUUCAAAUUUUUACUCCAUUAUUUCUUAGAUGGCAAUUAAGACUUAUGACAAUUAGACUUAUGGCAAUUAUUUACUACUUGAAAGCUUAGUUUCCACAUCUGUAAAAUAGGGCUAAUGAUAGUACUUGCUUCAUAAGCUUGAUGAUUAAAUGAAAUAAUAAUUGGAUGAGAUAACGCAUUUAGCUCAAUACUCACCCAUAAACAAUUUUUUUUUUUUAUGAGAUGAAGCCUCACUGUUCCCCAGGCUGGAGUACAGUGGUGUGAUCUCGGCUCACUGAAAUCUCUGCCUCCCGGAUGCAAGCAAUUCUCUUGCCUCAGUCUACUGAAAAGCUGGGAUUACAGGCACAUGCCACCAUGCCCAGCUAAUUUUUUAAAAUUUUUAGUAAGGAUGGGGUUUCACCAUGUUGGCCAGGCUGGUCUUGAACUCCUGGCCUCAAGUAAUCCCCCCAUCUUGGCCUCCCAAAGUGCUGGAAUUACAGGCAUGAGCCACCACACCAAUUUUUAAUACUUACUCAAUUACUAUGUUCUUUUUCUAGGAACUGUGGAAUGUAGAACCCUAUGAUUCCCCCCAAGUUCAAAGAUAUAGGCAAGUAAGUAUAAUAUAAGUGUGGAUACAGAUUUUGUAGGCUAUAUGUCAUGGCCUCUGUCCCAUAUCAAUUUAAUACUUAUUUUCCAAUGUGAUACCCUGAAAUCCCAGAAGAGAAAAAUUAAAAACAUGAUAAAAACUAUCAAAGGUAUAUUCAUUCAGCCACGCAAAUUGUAAAAUCAUAGAAAUCAUUCUAUUUGGUCACAAUUUAAAAGAAGAAAUUUACUAUAAGAAAAAUAAACACACACACAAAAACACAUUGAAUGCCACCUGAAGAAGAAUCACCAAUCCAACUAUUUUACCCUGCCCACCUUCACCAUGUUUUUCACAAUUGCCAAUAAAAAGUAGUUACCAUUUAUUGUACCAGACAGUGAGGUAAGUGCUUUAUAAACCCUGUCUCAUUUAACUGUCCCCAGAGCCCUAUGAGUAGGUAUGUUAGUGCCAUGCCCAUGUCAUGAAUGAGGAGAUAUGCCUGGCCAGAGAGGCAAGUUGGGAUUCACACACGGCAGACUUGCUCCAGGGCCUGUGUUCUCAACACUGCAUGGUGCUGCUUCUGAUCUGGGUUGUCAAAUCUCAGCACCCAGCACUCCUGGCUUGGGUAGAAGGGAAUGGGCCCAGAGGUGCUGAGAAUGGAUCUCAUGUCCACCUGGGGGCAAAGUUGGAACAGAAAGUACAUGGAGAGCCUGGGCUAAGAGGGAAGCUGCCAUGAUGAAAACCAAACUCAACCAGUAAGAGGAGUAAACUAUAAAUAUAAAUCUCAGUUAUGUGAUUAUGCCACCCCAUAGGUGAUUCCAGUAGUUAACUUAGAGCUAUCAAAGAUAUAUGGUACUCUGUAUAUACUUGAAUCCACUUCCCCAGCUUGACACUCCAAGGAGUCAGUUGUUCUCUAGGCCAGAUUAUUUCCCCACAAACAUUGCAAUAUGCCCAGUCUUCUCAUUAUAUAAGAUCUCUAUUAUAUGGGGGACCUUAUGUAAUUUCAUCAUAUGGAUGAAAAAUGGAUUAUUUUGCCAUUUGGCUUUUCUCUCUAAGAUUCAAAGUGCUUUUAUUUAUAGACUUUCACGAUCUAACCAAUUCACCCGAGAAGUAGGAAGAGGGCAGCUUUUUUAUUUUCAAAUUGUGGACUGAGAAAUUGAGAUAUGCAGAAAGAAAUAAAGCUGUUCUGCAAUUUGGAAAGCCAUCUGUGAUGCUAUAAAAAUGUCUCACUGUACUCUUGACCAUAUAAAUCACUAUUUUUAUUGCCUUCUCUCUGGAUGAGAUGUGGCUUAAUUUGAGAGAGCUGUUUAUCAUUUGGCAAGCUAAAGGAUCCUAAUUUCAAGUCUCCAUUCUAGUGGGUGGUAAGAAUAAAGGGAAUUUUCUUUAGGGGAAGAGGAAAUGAUAAGAAUGGGAAGGAAACAGACCUAAAAAAAUCGAGUUUGAAGCCUUUUGGAUAAUUAUGGAUUUAAUUUGCCCAAGCAUGGGUGUGGGAUCACAUGGAGUGUGUUUGAAUUCUAAGCCACCAUUAUGAUCACUACUUAAUGUUUCUUUCUACCACUCCCUUUCUACAGUGAGUACAUGACUAAGAUGACAACAGCUUAAAUGAGUUAGUGCAUGAUAUGGUUUGGCUCUGUGUCCCCACCCAAAUCUCAUGUUGAAUUGUAAUCGUAAGUGUUGGACAUGGGGCUUAGUGGGAGAUGAUUGGAUCAUGAGGGUGAUUUCUAGUGGUUUAGCACCAUCCCCAUGGUGCUGCCUCAUAAUAAAGUUCUCAGGAGAUCUGGUUGUUUGAAAGUAUGUAGCACUUCCCCACCCUUCUCCUGCUGGCCAUGUGAAUGUGUGCCUGUUUCUCCUUUACCUUCUGCCAUGAUUGUAAGUUUCCUGAGACUGCCCCAAAAGCAGAAGCCUGUACAGCCCACAGAACUGUGAGCUGAUUAAACAUCUUUUCUUUAUAAGUUACCCAGUCUCAGGUACUUCUUUAUAGCAAUGCAAGAACAGACUAAUGCAGAAAAUUUGUACCAGAGAAGUGAGGCAUUGCUAUAAAGAAGCCUGAAAAUGUGGAAGCAGCUUUGAAACUAAAUAAUGGGCAGAGGUCGGAACAGUUUGGAAAGCUCAGAAGAAGACAGGAAGAUGAGGAAAUGUUUGGAACUUCCUAGAGACUUGUUUAAUGGAUUUGACCAAAAUGUUCAUAGUGAUAUGGACAGAGAUGCCCAGGCUGAUGAGGUCUCAGACAGAGAUGAGGAACUUAUUGGGAACUGGAAUAAAGAUCACUCUUGCUAUGCUUUAGCAAAGAGACUGGUGGAAUUGUGCUCCUGCUCUGGGGAUCUGUUGAACUUUGACCUUCAGAGAAAUGAUUUAGGGUAUCUGGCAGAAGAAAUUUCUAAGCAUCAAAGUGUUCAAGAUGUGGUCUGGCUGCUUCCAAAAGCCGAACUCAUCUGCAUAAACAAAGAAAUGACCUGAAACUGGAACUUAUGACUGAAACUGGAAAAAAGGAGACAAAGCAUAAAACAUUAGAAAAUAUGUAGCCUGCCCAUGUGGUAGAAAAGAAAACCCCAUUUUGGGGGUAGAAAUUCAAGCCUGAUAUAGAAAUUUGCAUAAGUAAAUAGGAGCCAGAUGUUAAUAGCCAAGACAAUAAGGAAAAUGCCUAUGAGACAUUUCAGAGACCUUUGGGGAAGCCCCUCCUAUCACAGGCCUGGAGGCCUACAAGGGAAAAAUGGUUUCAUGAAGCCAGGCCCAGGGCCCUGCUGCUUUGUACAGCCUUGGGUCAUGACACUCUGCAUUCCACCUGCUCCAGCUCCAGCUGUGGCUAAAAGGGCCCCAGAUAUGUCUCAUACUGCUGCUCUAGAAGGUGCAAGACACAAGCCUUGGUGGCUUCCACGUGGUGUUAAACUUGCAAGUACACAGAGGUAAAAGUUGAGGCUUGGGAACCUCCAACUAGAUUUCAGAGGAUGUAUGGAAAGGCCUGGAUGUCCAAAAAGAAGUCUCCUACAGGGGCAGAGCCUUCAUGGAGAAUAUCUAAUAGGGCAGUGCAAAGGGGAAAUGUGAGGUUGGAGCCCCCACCCAGAGUCCCCACUGGGACACUGCCUAGUAGAGUUGUGAGAAGAAGAUCAUCAUCCUUCAGACUUCAGAAUGAUAAAUCUACUGACAGCUUGCACCAUGUAGCUGGAAAAGCCACAGGUACUCAAUAUCAGUUCAUGAAAGCAACCACAGGGGAUGUACCCUACAAAGCCACAGAAACAGAGCUGCCCAGAACCUUGGGAGCCCACCCCUUGCAUCAGUGUGGCCUGGAUGUGAGACACAGAGUCAAAGAAAAUUAUUUUGGACAAGAUUUAAUGACUGCCCUGCUGGGUUUCGGACUUGCAUGGGGCCUGUAGCCCCUUUGUUUCGGCUGAGUUCUCCUUUCUGGAAAGGGAAUAUUUACCCAAUGCCUGUACCUCUACUGUAUCUUGAAAGUAACUAAUUUGUUUUCGAUUUUACAAGCUCAUAGGUGGAAGGGACUUGCCUUGACUCAGAUGAGACUUUGGACUUGGACUUUUGAGUUAAUUCUGGAAUGAGUUAAGACUUUGAGGGACUGUUGAGAAGGGAUUAUUGUAUUUUACAAAGUGAGAGGAUAUGAGAUUUGGGAAGGGUGGAAUAAUAUGGUUGGGUUCUGUGUCCCUACCCAAAUCUCAUGUUGAAUUGUGAUUCCAAGUGUUGUAAGUGGGGCUUGGUGGGAGGUGAUUGGAUCAUAGGGAUAGUUUCUAAUAGUUUAACACCAUUCAUCCAAUGCUGUCUCAUGAUAGAGUUCUCAGAAAAUCUGGUUGUUUGAAAGUGUGUAGCAUCUCUAUCACCUGUUUCCCCUUCACCUUCUGCCAUGAUUGUAAGUUUCCUGAGGCCUCCAUAGAAGCAGAAGCCUGUUCAGCCCACAGAACCAUGAGCUGAUUAAACAUCUUUUCUUUGGAAAUUACCCAGUCUCGAAUAAGCUGAGGAAGACGGUGCUGUAGGACCAACUCAGGAUUGCAGCUCCCAGUUAAUCUGCAGAGGGUGAGUGGAUGCCACAUUUCCAUACGGAUAUUUAUUGUCCACAGACUAGGAGAUUCCCAGGUGUAAGAGCCCCACGGGCCACCAGCGCGGCAGUUUGGGCCGGCGCGGCUGUUUGGGCCGGCACGACUGUUUGGGCUGAGGCUGCAGUGCAGCGACACUCUGUACAAAAUACACUGGUUUGGUUGCCCUGUUAAACCAGCAAUUGGCAAUUUUGGAAGGCAGAUUAGCACAUUCAUCUGAUUAAAUGGGACUUAAACAGAAAGCCAGGCCAGGAGAUUCCCAGGCAGCAACGUGGUUUGAGCCAGCGCAGUGGGUCGCUGCACAGGAAAUCACACAGAUCCCAGCGCCCUUGCAGUAGGUGACUGGAACACCUGGGAGAGAGUCAUCCGUUCAACUUUAAAAAAAAAAAAAAAAAAAAGGGCUCUGAGGCAGGGAGCCAGGUGAUCAGGCUCAGCGGGUCCCACCCCCACAAAAACAAACAAAACAGCAAUUGGAAAUGCUCGGGGUUGAGAGUUUCAUGGCAAGCACAGGUGAACCCAGGACAGUGCAGCUCAGUGGGGGAGGGGAGUCCACCAUUACUGAGGUACGCGACCCCUACAGAGGUAUGCUGCCAUUGCUGACGCAGCCUGCCAUUGCCAAGGCAACCCGCCAUAACAGAGAGAGUCUGCCACUACAGAGGCAGGCUACCAUCGCCACUGCAGUUCUAACCACACCCAUAUAAACAGGGCUAGAGGGAAUUACACAUGGCAGCAGGGUGGAGCCCACGACAGCAGGGCGGAGCCCACAGCAACAGGGCGGAGCCCAUGGCAGCUCAUGAUAGCCACUACAGGCAGGCAGUGACUAGACUGCCUCCUCGCUGGGCAGGAAAGUGCAACGGAUACUCAUAAAUAAAGCCCUAACUCCCUGAGACAGAGCACCUGAGGAAAAAAAAAAGGGGGCUUUAUGAGUUCUGCUGCAGCACACUUAAAUGUACCUGCCUAGCAGCCCUGAAUGAACAACGGAGCUCACAGCUCAGCACUAGAGCUCCUAUAAAGUACAGGCUGUCUCCUCAAGCAGCUCCCUGACCUUUGUAUAUCCAAAGAGUCACCUCACAAAGGACUGAUCAGACUGACAUUUGGCAGGCAUCAUUCAGGGACAAAGAUAGCAGAAGGAGAAUCUGGUAGCAACCCUCAUGGUUCUGCAGCUGCUACAGGAGUUCCCCAGGCAAGCAGGGCCUGGAGUGGACCUCAGCAGUCCUACAGCAGUGGGGCCAGACUGUUAGAAGGAAAACUAAGAAACAGAAAUACUUCAUCAUCAACAAUCUGGACAUCCACUCAGAGACCCAAUUGGAAAAUAAGCAACCACUCAAACAACAGGUGGAUAAAUCCACAAAGAUGGGAAGAACCCAGCGCAAAAAGGAGGAAAACACCCAAAACCAGAACACCUCGCCUCCUACAAAGGACCAAAACUCCUCACCAGCAAGGGAACAAAGCUGGACGGAGAAUGAGUGUGAUGAAAUGACGGAAUCAGACUUCAGAAGGUGGGUAAUGAGAAACUUCUGUGAGCUAAAAGAACAUGUUCUUUUUUUUUUUUUUUAAAGAAAGGAAAAAAAAGGAGUGAAGGAGAGGAAGAAAGAGGAAGAAAAAGAGGGAGAGAGAACCGGAAUAUAGCUGUAUUCUAAAAAUGGGUAUUAAUAAUGGCCAACCAAUAUUUUGUGUAUUUAAUAUGGAGAAUGUAUAUUUUGUGUAUUUAAAAUGGAGAGCUCUAUAAAUGUUUAUUGAGUUUACUUGUUCCAAAUCUGAGUUCAAGUCCUGGAUAUCUUUAUUAAUUUUCUGUCUCGUGAGUCUAAAUCUCUUUAUGAGUCUUAUGUAUCUGGGUGUUAGGAUCAUUAGCUCUUAUUGUUGCAUUGAUCCUUUUACCACUAUAUCUUUGUUGCUUUGAAAUCUAUUUUAUCAGAUGCGAGAAUUGCAACUCCUGCUUUUUACUUAUUUAUUUAUUUUUGCUCCCCAUUUGGUUGGUAAAUCUUUCUCCAUCCCUUUGUUUUAAGACUUUGUGUAUCUUUGGAUGUGAAAUGGGUCUGGAUGUGGCAUACCAUUAGGUUUUGGCUGUAUCUUUUGAUUGGGGGAUUUAGUCGACUUAAAUUUAGGGUUACUGCCAUUUGAUGUUAACUGGCUAUUUUAUCCAUUCAUUGAUGUAAAUUCUUCAUGUUGAUGCUUGUUGAUGUUGAUGCUCUUUACUUUUUGGUAUAUUUUUAGAAAGGCUAAUACUGGUUGUUCCUUUCUAUGUAUAAUGCUUCUUUCAGAAGCUCUUGUAAAGCCAGCCUGGUGGUAAUAAAAUCUCUGAGUACUUGCUUGUUCAUAAAAGAUUUUAUUUUUCCUUCAAUUGUGAAGCUUAGUUUGGCAGGAUAUGAAAUUCUGGGCUGAAAGUUCUGUUCUUUAAGGAUGUUGAAUAUCGGUCCCCACUCUCUUCUGGCUUGCAGGGUUUCUGCUGAGAGAUUUGCUGUAAGUCUGAUAGGCUUCCCUUUGUGGGUAACCUGACCUUUCUCUCUGGCUGCCCUUAGUAUUUUCUCCUUUGUUUCAACCCUGGUGAGUCCAAUGAUUAUGUGUCUUGGGGUUGCUCUUCUUGAAGAAUAUCUUUGUGGUGUUCUCUGAAUUACCUGGGGUUGACUAUUGUCCUGCUUUGCUAGAUUCAGAAAGUUUUCCUGAAUAAUAUCCUGAAGACAAGAAUAGAGAAAAAAGGAUAAAAAGGAAUGAGCAAAGUCUCCAAGAAAUAUGGGACUAUUUGAAAAGACCUAAUUUAUGUUUGAUAGGUGUACCUGAAUACAACGAAGAGAAUGAAUCCAAGCUGGAAAAUACUCUUCAAGAUAAAAGAACAUGUUCUAAAUCAAUGCAAAGAAACUAAGAACCUUGAAAAAAGAUUUGAAAAAAGAUUUGAGGAAAUGAUAACAAGAAUGGACAACUUAGAGAGGAAUAUGAGUGAAUGGAAGGAGCUGAAAAACACAACACGAGAACUUCACAAAGCAUGCACAAGUUUCAACAGCCAAAUUGACCAAGCAGAAGAAAGGAUUUCAGAAGUCGAAGAUCAACUCAAUGAAAUAAAACAAGAAGCCAAGAUUAGAGAAAAAAGUGCAAAAAGGAAUAAACAACGUCUCCAAGAAAUGUGGAAUUAUGUGAAGAGACCUAAUCUAUGUUUGAUAGGUGUACCUGAAUGUGACAAAGAGAAUGAAUCCAAGCUGGAAAAUACUCUUCAGGAUAUUAUCCAGGAAAAUUUCCCCAACCUAGCAAGGCAGGCCAAUAUUCAAGUCCAGGAAAUACAGAGAACACCACAAAGAUAUUCCACAAGAAGAGCAACCCCAAGGCACAUAAUCGUCAGAUUCACCAGGGUCGAAAUGAAGGAGAAAAUGCUAAGGGCAGCCAGAGAGAAAGGUCGAGUCACCAACAAAGGGAAGCCCAUCAGACUCAUAGCAGAUCUCUUGGCAGAAACCCUACAAGCCAAAAGAGAGUGAGGGGCCAAUAUUCAACACCCUUAAAGAAAAGAACUUUCAAUCCAGAAUUUCAUAUCCAGCCAAAGUGAGCUUCAUAAGUGAAGGAAAAAUAAAAUCCUUUGCAAACAAGCAAGUACUCAGAGAUUUUGUCAGCACCAGGCCUGCUUUACAAGAGCUCCUGAAAGAGGCACCACACAUAGAAAGGAACAACCAGUACCAGCCAUUCCAAAAACAUACCAAAUGCUAAAGAGCAUUAAUAAAAUGAAGAAUCUGCAUCAACUAAUGGGCAAAACAGCCAGCUAGCAUCAAAAUGGCAGUAGCAAAUUCACACAUAACAAUAUUAACCCUAAAUGUAAAUGGGCUAAAUGCACCAAUCAAAAGACACAGACUGGCAAAUUGGAUAAAAAGCCAAAACCCAUCGGUGUGCUGUAUCCAGGAAACCCAUCUCACAUGCAAGGAUACACAAAGGCUCAAAAUAAAGGGAUGGAGGAAGACUUACCAAGCAAAUGGAGAGCAAAAAAAAGCAGGAGUUGCAAUUCUCAUCUCAGAUAAAAUAGAUUUUAAAGCAACAAAGAUCAAAAGAGACAAAGAAGGACAUUACAUAAUGGUAAAAGGAUCAAUAUAACAAGAAGAGCUAACGAUCCUAAAUAUAUAUGGACCCAAUACAGGAGCACCCAGAUAUAUAAGGAAAGUUCUUAAUGACUUACAAAGAGACUUAGACUCCCACACAAUAAUAGUGGGAGACUUCAACACUCCACUGUCAAUAUUAGACAGAUCAACUAGACAGAAAAUUAACAAGGAUAUACAGGGCUUGAACUCAGACCUGGAACAAGCAAACAUGAUAGACAUGUACAGAACCCUCCACCCCAAAUCCACAGAAUAUACAUUCUUCUCAGCACCACAUCACACCUACUCUAAAAUUGACCACGUAAUUGGAAGUAAAGCACUCCUCAGCAAAUGCAAAACAACUGACAUAAUAACAAACAGUCUCUCAGACCAUAGUGCAAUCAAGUUAGAACUCAGAAUUCAGAAACUAACUCAGAACUGCACAGCUUCAUGGAAACUGAACAACUGGCUCUUGAAUGUUGACUGGAUAAACAAUGAAAUGAAGGCAGAAAUAAAGAAGUUCUUCGAAACCAAUGAGAAUGAAGACACAACAUACCAGAAUCUCUGGGACACAUUUAAAGCAGUCUCUAGAGGAAAAUAUAUAGCAAUAAGUGCCCACAUGAGAAGAGUGGAGAGAUCCAAAAUUGACACCCUAUCGUCAAAAUUGAAAGAGCUAGAGGAGCAAGAUCAAAAAAACUCAAAACCUAGCAGAAGACAAUAAAUAACUAAGAUCAGAGCAGAACUGAAGGAGAUAGAGACACGAAAAACCCUUCAAAAAUCAAUAAAUCCAAGAGCUGGUUUUUUGAAAAGAUCAACAAAAUAGACAGACCACUAGCUAGACUGAUAAAAAAGAAAAGAGAGAAUAACCAAAUAGAUGCAAUAAAAAAUGAUAAAGGGGAAAUCACCACAGACUCCACAGAAAUUCAAACUAUCAUCAGAGAAUAUUACAAACAACUCUAGGCACAUAAACUAGUAAACCUGGAAGAAAUUGAUAAAUUCCUGGACACUUGUGUCCUCCCAAGCCUAAACCAGGAGGAAGCUGAAACUAUGAAUAAACCAAUAAUAAGGUCAGAAGUUGAGGCAGCAAUUAAGAGCCUACCACACACAAAAAGCCGAGGUCCAGAUGAGUUCACAGCCUAAUUCUACCAGACACACAAAGAGGAGCUGGUACCAUUCCUUCUAAAACUAUUUCAAACAAUCCAAAAAGAGGGAAUACUUCCCAAAUCAUUUUAUGAGACCAACAUCAUCCUGAUACCAAAACCCAGCAGAGACUCAACAAGAAAAGAAAACUUUAGGCCAAUAUCCAUGAUGAAUAUAGAUGCAAAAAUCUUCAAUAAAAUACUAGCAAGCUGAUUGCAACAGCACAUCAAAAAGCUUAUCCAUCAUGAUCAAGUAGGAUUCAUCCCGGGGAUGCAAGGCUGGUUCAACAUAAGCAAGUCUAUAAAUGUAAUUCACCACAUCAACAGAACCAAAAACCAAAACCACAUGGUUAUCUCAAUUGAUGCAGAGAAGGCCCUUGACAAAAUUCAACAGCCCUUUAUGCUAAAAACCCUCAAUAAACUCGGUAUUGAUGGAACAUAUCUCAAAAUAAUAAAAGCUAUUUAUGACAAACCAACAGCCAAUAUCAUACUGAAUGGGCAAAAACUGGAAGCAUUCCCUUUGAAAUCUGGCACUAGACAAGGAUGCCCUCUCUCACCACUCUUAUUCAAUAUAGUACUGGAAGUUCUAGCCAGAGUAAUCAGGCAAGAAAAAGAAAUAAAGGGUAUUCAAAUAGAAAAGGAGGAAGCCAAAUUGUCUCUAUUUGCAGACAACAUGAUAGUAUAUCUAGAAGACCAAAACUCCUGAAACUGAUAAGCAACUUCAGCAAAGUCUCAGCAUAUAAAAUCAAUGUGCAAAAAUCACAAGCAUUCCUAUACAACAGACUUAAAGAGAGCCAAAUCAAGAACAAACUGCCAUUCACAAUGCUACAAAGAGAAUAAAAUACCUAGGAAUACAACUUACAAGGAACAUAAGGGACCUCUUCAAGGAGAACUACAAACCACUGCUCAAUGAAAUAAGAGAGGACACAAACAGAUGGAGAAACAUUCCAUGUUCAUGGUUAGGAAGAAUCAAUAUCAUGAAGAUGGCCAUACCGCCCAAAGUAAUUUAUAGACUCAAUGCUAUCCCCAUCAAGCUACCAUUGACUUUCUUCACAGAACUGGAAAAAAACACCUUGAACUUCAUAUGGAACCAAAAGAGAGCCCGCAUAGCCAAGUCAAUUCUAAGCAAAAAUAACACAGCAGGAGGCAUCACACUACUGGACUUCAAACUAUACUACAAGGCUACAGUAAUCAAAACAGCAUGGUAAUGGUACCAAAACAGAGAUAUAGACCAAUGGAACAGAACAGAGGCAUCGGAGGCAACACAACAAAUCUACAACCAUACAAUCUUUGAUAAACCUGACAAAAACAAGCCAUGGGGAAAGGACUCCCUGUUUCAUAAAUGGUGUUGGGAAAACUGGCUAGCCAUAUACAGAAAGCAGAAACUUGACCCCUUCCUGACACCUUACACUAAAUUUAACUCCAGAUGGAUUAAAGACUUAAACAUAAGAACUGGCACCAUAAAAAUCCUAGAAGAAAAUCUAGGCAAAACCAUUCAGGACAUAGGAGUAGGCAAGGACUUCAUGACCAAAACACCAAAAGCAUUGGCAACAAAAGCCAAAAUAGACAAUUGGACCUAAUCAAACUCCACAGCUUCUACACAGCAAAAGAAACAGUCACUAGAGUGAAUCCACAACCAAUAGAAUGGGAAAAAAUUUUUGCAUUUUACCCAUCUGACAAAGGGCUGAUGUCCAGAAUUUACAAAGAACUAAAACAGAUUUACAAGAAAAAAACAAACAAGCCAAUCCAAAAAUGGGCAAAGGAUAUGAACAGACACUUUACAAAAGAAGACAUACAUGAGGCCAGCAAACAUAUGAAAAAAUGCUCAUCAUUACUGAUCAUUAGAGAGAUGCAAAUCAAAACCACAUUGAGAUACCAUCUCAUGCCAGUUAGAAUGGCAAUCAUUAAAAAAUCUGGAGACAACAGAUGCUGGAGCAGAUGUGGAGAAAUAGGAACACUUUCACACUGCUGGUGGGAGUGUAAACUAGUUCAACCAUUGUGGAAGACAGUGUGGCGAUUCCUCAAGGACCUAGAAAUAGAAAUUCCAUUUGACCUAGCAGUCCCAUUACUGGGUAUAUAUCCAAAGGACUAUAAAUUGUUCUACUAUAAGGACACAUGCACACGAAUGUUCACUGCAGCACUGUUUACAAUAGCAAAGGCCUGGAACCAACCCAAAUGCCCAUCGAUGAUAGACUGGACUGGGAAAAUAUGGCACAUAUACACCAUGGAAUAUUAUGCAGCCAUCAAAAAUGAUGAGUUCAUGUCCCUACAAGGGACAUGGAUGAAUCUGGAGAACAUCAUUCUCAGCAAACUGACACAAGAACAGAAAAUAAAAUACCGCGUAUUCUCGCUCAUAGGCGGGUGAUGAACAAUGAGAACACAUGGACACAGGGAAUGGAACACUACAC